GAUGAACGCUGGCGGCGUGCCUAAUACAUGCAAGUCGAGCGAACAGACGAGGAGCUUGCUCCUCUGACGUUAGCGGCGGACGGGUGAGUAACACGUGGAUAACCUACCUAUAAGACUGGGAUAACUUCGGGAAACCGGCGCUAAUACCGGAUAAUAUAUUGAACCGCAUGGUUCAAUAGUGAAAGACGGUUUUGCUGUCACUUAUAGAUGGAUCCGCGCCGCAUUAGCUAGUUGGUAAGGUAACGGCCUACCAAGGCAACGAUGCGUAGCCGACCUGAGAGGGGGAUCGGCCACACUGGAACUGAGACACGGUCCAGACUCCUACGGGAGGCAGCAGUAGGGAAUCUUCCGCAAUGGGCGAAAGCUUGACGGAGCAACGCCGCGUGAGUGAUGAAGGUCUUCGGAUCGUAAAACUCUGUUAUUAGGGAAGAACAAAUGUGUAAGUAACUAUGCACGUCUUGACGGUACCUAAUCAGAAAGCCACGGCUAACUACGUG
rnacentral:rRNA from 1 species